UACGUAGGGCGCAAGCGUUGUCCGGAAUUAUUGGGCGUAAAGAGCUCGUAGGCGGCUUGUCACGUCGGGUGUGAAAGCCCGGGGCUUAACCCCGGGUCUGCAUUCGAUACGGGCAGGCUAGAGUGUGGUAGGGGAGAUCGGAAUUCCUGGUGUAGCGGUGAAAUGCGCAGAUAUCAGGAGGAACACCGGUGGCGAAGGCGGAUCUCUGGGCCAUUACUGACGCUGAGGAGCGAAGGCGUGGGGAGCGAACAGG
rnacentral:rRNA from 1 species